AAAUAUUAGACUUUAUCUGGGUUUAUGGUACCCUAGAACACACCAGACUUGAAAUAAAAGCAUGGUCCAGAGGAAGCUGAGCCAUCCUUGCUUAAAAGCCAGGGGUUCUAUGUACAGUUUCCCUCUGCUAGGUCCUGGGUACUGUUUCCAUGGUGAUAAAAGCUGUGCCAUGUCAUUAUCGAUCCACCAACAGUAAGAGAAGCUUUGCAGUCAGGAUAAUGUUUAGCAGACAGCAUGGUUUCUCUUGGACACUAAGUACUGCUACAAAA